AAGAGAGACAGAGAAUGAAUCUGAAGUCUGAAACCUUGUAGUUCGUUUGAACCAGUCAGUUCUUGUUCAGAAAGGAAGAGGAAGGGCAGGAGUGGCUAUUGGCGCCAGAGGGAGGGUUAGUGACUCAGUCCUACCCUCCUAACAGAUUAAACACCAAGGAACACAAGCCUUGGAACCAGACCUGGCUCUGACCCUCUGCCCCGCCCCUUGUAGUGUGACAGGGAAGCUCCAGUUCCCUUAUCAUACCUCAAUUUUAUCCAUAAAGUGGCGACAUGAGGAAAAUGCCCAGCAUUUAACUAACGAUCUUCUGUUGGUCCCUUCUGGUAGGGCCGAGGAGACCCCAGCAUCACGAAUUAAUUUGGGAUUACAGCCAAGCAAGUUUAAUGUUUCGAAAUAUCAUACACAAUGCAGCUGAGCGCCAAUUUUAUUCCCUGGGUUAGUACUAAUCAGCAAAAUGUACGUAAGGGCCUCAAGAACAGACUGCCCUGAACGUUCCUGUGUGUUGCUCCAGGUACCACCUACUCAUCCUCCAAUAUCCAGCUGGCACCUCCUCUGGGAAGACUUCCUGGAUAUUUCAGGUUGAUUUAGCAGCAUGCUAUGUGUAUCACACUGAAAUGGCCUACAUCCAGAAGCUGACACAUGGUAAAGAAUUAAAAGUUUCUUGAAAGAAUGCAUUAAUGCAACUUAUUUUCUGCUUCUAUUGUUUUUCUUGUAGUAUACCAACUAGGACACUUUUUGAAGAAACUGCAAUUCUUCUCAGCAUUCAAUUCUGUCCAGUGGCAAAGGUGAUCAGGAGAUUCAAAGUAGUAAAAAUAAUCCCCAAAGUAGUGCUACCACUAGGCCCUGGAAACCAACCUCACAUACUAAAGACAGACUGAAGAUCUGCAUUGAGCUAAGCCCUAAUUAUGUUCAGUGUUCUUAACUUUGAAUCUAGACUCCCAGGCUUUGUACUAUGCCGUAACCAAUUGGGCAACUAAAUGAUGACCGGUACAGCACAGCUGCUAAGAUCACAGACUAAUCCAAACUGCCCGGGUCUGUACCUUGCUUCAGCCACUGUCUAGCUGUGUGUCUUGGGCAAGUUAGUUAAUCCCUUUAUGCCUCAGUUUGCUUAUCUGUAAGAUGGGAACAAUAUUAACAGUACUGACCUCAUAGAAUAAAUGAUUUCACAUACGUGAAUGGUUACAACAGUGCUUUGCACAAAUUAAGUACUACUUAACCAGCUAUUUUUUGUAUUUCUUCUAUUAACUGGCAAACACAGAGAGAGAGGAAUAUCUAAGAAGCAAAUCAGAGGUAAUUUCAGGGUGUCUCUUUGCUGUGUGGAGACACUCCUGGCUCUCCUAGUGCCCACUUAAUUAAUUCACAGAUCAGAAUUGCAAGACCUAUGUCUAAUAUUGCCAGGGGUCUGCAGAAGAGACAUUGUCCUCCUUCCAGCUGGCUCCUCCAACACAGCCAAAGCAACAUGGGUUGUUCAUUCCUUACACAUCAACUAUAGCUGUGGGAACAAUGAGUUCUGCCUUUUUUUCCCUGUCCACUGCUUUCAUAUUUAAGGUUGCUCCUGUGUCAGUAGUGAUUAUCUCAGAAGAUCUCCCUGUAUAUAAGGCCCCAUGAACAAGAAAAUUUUGUAUCAAUUAACAAGAGACAAGCUUAGGGGAAGAAGUGCUUCCUGAACAUCACCUGCAGACUAGACUAUAGCACUCUUGUGGGAUCCCAACAAAUACGUCGUCCACCCCGCUCCCAACUAUUUAAAGAAUAUUUGAAAGCACUCGAAUUCUUUGGCAUAAACACUCUUUGAAAUGCAAGUUAUGUCGAAUCCUAGAAUUUUACUUCUGGAAGAUGUGGUGGGAGAUUAUAUAAAAUGGGGAAUCAGUGACCCAGCACCAUGGCUUCCCAGCUCCUCUGCACGCCCCCCCAUAUUUCCCAACCCUUGCAUUUGAAAUUUAAAAUGUUCUUUAAAAAAUUAAAGGCUUUCAGUGUUGAGUGAUAGUCACGCACUGCAUAAGGAUAUUUCAGUCAACAAUGGACCAAAUAUAUGACAGUAGUCGCGUAAGAUUAUAAUGAAGCUGAAAAAUUCCUACAGCCUAAUGAUGUCACAGCUGUCAUGUCAUAGCAUUUUUUUUAAAUAUAGUGUAGCCUAAGUUUAUAAUAUUUAUAAAGUCUACAAUAGUGUAACGUCCUAGGCCUUCACAUUCACUCACCACUCACUGACUCACCCAGAGCAACUUCUAGUCCCACAAGCUCCAUGCA
rnacentral:lncRNA from 1 species